rnacentral:rRNA from 1 species
GGCAGCAGCUAAGAAUAUUCCGCAAUGCGCGAAAGCGUGACGGAGCGACGCCGCGUGGACGAUGAAGGCCGGAAGGUUGCAGAGUCCUUUGGCACGCGAGGAAGGAGCGGGGGAGGAAAUGAUCCCGCGGUGACUGUAGCGUGAGAACAAGCACCGGCUAAUUACGUGCCAGCAGCCGCGGUAACACGUAAGGUGCGAGCGUUGUUCGGAAUUAUUGGGCGUAAAGGGCAUGUAGGCGGCCUGGUAAGUCGGGCGUGAAAUCACGGGGCUCAACCCCGUGGCUGCGCCCGAUACUGUCGGGCUUGAGUCAGCGAGGCGGAGGCGGAAUUCCUGGUGUAGGGGUGAAAUCUGUAGAUAUCAGGAAGAACACCGGUGGCGAAGGCAGCCUCCGAGCGCAUGACUGACGCUGAGGUGCGAAGGUGCGGGGAGCGAACAGGAUUAGAUACCCUGGUAGUCCGCACAGUAAACGAUGCGCACUUGGUGUGCGGCCAAGAGGCUGUGCGCCGAAGCAAACGCGAUAAGUGCGCCGCCUGGGGAGUAUGCCCGCAAGGGUGAAACUCAAAGGAAUUGACGG